rnacentral:rRNA from 1 species
GACGAACGCUGGCGGCGUGCCUAAUACAUGCAAGUAGAACGCACAGUUUAUACCGUAGCUUGCUACACCAUAGACUGUGAGUUGCGAACGGGUGAGUAACGCGUAGAUAACCUGCCUGGUAGCGGGGGAUAACUAUUGGAAACGAUAGCUAAUACCGCAUAAUAUUAAUUAUUGCAUGAUAAUUAAUUGAAAGGUGCAAUUGCACCACUACCAGAUGGACCUGCGUUGUAUUAGCUAGUAGGUGAGGUAACGGCUCACCUAGGCGACGAUACAUAGCCGAACUGGCAGGGGUAUCAGCCACAAUAGACAUGAGACACGGACCAGACUCCUACGGGAGGCCGCAGUAGGGAAUCUUCGGCAAUGGACGAAAGUCUGACCGAGCAACGCCGCGUGAGUGAAGAAGGUUUUCGGAUCGUAAAGAUCUGUUGUAAGAGAAGAACGGGUGUGAGAGUGGAAAGUUCACACUGUGACGGUAGCUUACCAGAAAGGGACGGCUAACUACGUG